CGUACACUCCUACGGGAGGCAGCAGUGGGGAAUUUUGGACAAUGGGCGAAAGCCUGAUCCAGCCAUGCCGCGUGCAGGAUGAAGGCCUUCGGGUUGUAAACUGCUUUUGUACGGAACGAAACGGCCUUUUCUAAUAAAGAGGGCUAAUGACGGUACCGUAAGAAUAAGCACCGGCUAACUACGUGCCAGCAGCCGCGGUAAUACGUAGGGUGCAAGCGUUAAUCGGAAUUACUGGGCGUAAAGCGUGCGCAGGCGGUUAUGUAAGACAGUUGUGAAAUCCCCGGGCUCAACCUGGGAACUGCAUCUGUGACUGCAUAGCUAGAGUACGGUAGAGGGGGAUGGAAUUCCGCGUGUAGCAGUGAAAUGCGUAGAUAUGCGGAGGAACACCGAUGGCGAAGGCAAUCCCCUGGACCUGUACUGACGCUCAUGCACGAAAGCGUGGGGAGCAAACAGGAUUAGAAACCCUAGUAGUCCC
rnacentral:rRNA from 1 species